UUUACAUCAGAGUCACCAGAAAAACUUGAUAAGAUGCAGAUGCCUGGGCUGCGCUACCCUUAGAGACUUUAAGCAGGUCAUGGUGGGGUCCAGGAAUCUGCAUUUUAACAAAGCCCCCAGGUGGUCUGCUACAAGUGG
rnacentral:miRNA from 1 species